rnacentral:rRNA from 1 species
UACGGAGGGCGCAAACGUUGCUCGGAAUCAUUGGGCGUAAAGCGCACGUAGGCGGUCCGUUAAGUCGGAUGUGAAAGCCCUCGGCUCAACCGAGGAAGUGCAUUCGAAACUGGCGGACUUGAGUAUGGGAGAGGGUUGCGGAAUUCUCGGUGUAGAGGUGAAAUUCGUAGAUAUCGGGAGGAACACCAGUGGCGAAGGCGGCAGCCUGGACCAAUACUGACGCUGAGGUGCGAAAGCGUGGGGAGCAAACAGG